rnacentral:rRNA from 1 species
GGCGGCGUGCCUAAUACAUGCAAGUCGAGCGGACUUUAAAAGCUUGCUUUUAAAGUUAGCGGCGGACGGGUGAGUAACACGUGGGCAACCUGCCUGUAAGACUGGGAUAACUUCGGGAAACCGGAGCUAAUACCGGAUAAUCCUUUUCCUCUCAUGAGGAAAAACUGAAAGRCGGCAUCUCGCUGUCACUUACAGAUGGGCCCGCGGCGCAUUAGCUAGUUGGUGAGGUAACGGCUCACCAAGGCAACGAUGCGUAGCCGACCUGAGAGGGUGAUCGGCCACACUGGGACUGAGACACGGCCCAGACUCCUACGGGAGGCAGCAGUAGGGAAUCUUCCGCAAUGGACGAAAGUCUGACGGAGCAACGCCGCGUGAGUGAUGAAGGUUUUCGGAUCGUAAAGCUCUGUUGUUAGGGAAGAACAAGUACAAGAGUAACUGCUUGUACCUUGACGGUACCUAACCAGAAAGCCACGGCUAACUACGUGCCAGCAGCCGCGGUAAU